CCUACGGGCGGCAGCAGUGAGGAAUAUUGGUCAAUGGGCGCGAGCCUGAACCAGCCAAGUAGCGUGAAGGAUGACUGCCCUACGGGUUGUAAACUUCUUUUAUAAAGGAAUAAAGUUAUGCACGUGUGCCUAUUUGCAUGUACUUUAUGAAUAAGCAUCGGCUAACUCCGUGCCAGCAGCCGCGGUAAUACGGAGGAUCCGAGCGUUAUCCGGAUUUAUUGGGUUUAAAGGGAGCGUAGAUGGUUUGUUAAGUCAGUUGUGAAAGUUUGCGGCUCAACCGUAAAAUUGCAAUUGAUACUGGAAGACGUGAGUACAGUUGAGGUAGGCGGAAUGCGUGGGGUAGCGGUGAAAUGCAUAGAUAUCACGAAGAACUCCGAGUGCGAAGGUAGAUUACUAAACGAGAACUGACAUUGAUGCACGAAAGCGUGGGGAUCAAACAGGAUGAGAUAACCCUGUAGUC
rnacentral:rRNA from 1 species